rnacentral:tRNA from 1 species
AUUGUUUUGGCAGAAAAGUGUAUCGGAUUUAGAAUUCGAAGAUGAAGUGAAAGUUUCAAACAAUA